GCUGGCGGCACGCCUUAUACAUGCAAGUCGAACGAAGUAGCAAUACUUAGUGGCAGACGGGUGAGUAACAUGUGGGUAUCUUCCCUUUGGUGAGGAAUAACACGAGGAAACUUGUGCUAAUACCUCAUAAGUCUUUACGGAGAAAGCUUUAUGCGCCAAUGGAUGAGCCCGCACUUGAUUAGUUAGUUGGCAGGGUAAUGGCCUACCAAGACUUUGAUCAAUAGCUGAUUUGAGAGGAUGAUCAGCCACAUUGGGACUGAGACACGGCCCAAACUUCUACGGGAGGCAGCAGUAGGGAAUCUUGCACAAUGGAGGAAACUCUGAUGCAGCGAUGCCGCGUGAGUGAAGAAGGCCUUUGGGUUGUAAAGCUCUUUCGUCGGGGAAGAAAAUGACUGUACCCGAAUAAGAAGGUCCGGCUAACUUCGUGCCAGCAGCCGCGGUAAUACGAAGGGACCUAGCGUAGUUCGGAAUUACUGGGCUUAAAGAGUUCGUAGGUGGUUAAAAAAGUUGGUGGUGAAAUCCCAGAGCUUAACUCUGGAACUGCCAUCAAAACUUUUUAGCUAGAGUAUGAUAGAGGAAAGCAGAAUUUCUAGUGUAGAGGUGAAAUUCGUAGAUAUUAGAAAGAAUACCAAUUGCGAAGGCAGCUUUCUGGAUCAUUACUGACACUGAGGAACGAAAGCAUGGGUAGCGAAGAGGAUUAGAUACCCUCGUAGUCCAUGCUGUAAACGAUGUGUGUUAGACGUUGGAAAUUUAUUUUCAGUGUCGCAGCGAAAGCGAUAAACACACCGCCUGGGGAGUACGACC
rnacentral:rRNA from 1 species